rnacentral:ncRNA from 1 species
AAUGCCGGAGGUGGGAAAAUUCGUUGCACCCACACACCUUAUGGGUUAAAAGAGAUGCAGUAGAAAGCGACGGCUGCCCGGCAUU